rnacentral:rRNA from 1 species
GCGUGAGUGAUGAAGGCCUUCGGGUUGUAAAACUCUUUCGCGCACGACGAUAAUGACGGUAGUGCGAGAAGAAGCUCCGGCUAACUUCGUGCCAGCAGCCGCGGUAAUACGAAGGGGGCUAGCGUUGUUCGGAAUUACUGGGCGUAAAGCGCGCGCAGGCGGCUUUUCAAGUCGGUGGUGAAAUCCCAAAGCUCAACUUUGGAAUUGCCAUCGAAACUGUAAAGCUUGGGUACGGGAGAGGUGAGUGGAAUUCCGAGUGUAGAGGUGAAAUUCGU